rnacentral:rRNA from 1 species
GAUAAACGCUGGCGGCGUGCAUAACACAUGCAAGUCGAACGAUGAAACUUAGCUGAUUUCUUCGGAAUGAAAUUAAGUGGAUUAGUGGCGAACGGGUGAGUAACACGUGAGUAACCUGCCUUACACAAGGGGAUAGCCUUUGGAAACGAAGAAUAAUACCCUAUAACGUCAAUUUAUCGCAUGAUAAAAUGACCAAAGAUUUAUCGGUGUAAGAUGGACUUGCGUCUGAUUAGCUAGUUGGUGAGAUAAAAGCCCACCAAGGCGACGAUCAGUAGCCGGCUUGAGAGAGUGUACGGCCACAUUGGGACUGAGACACGGCCCAAACUCCUACGGGAGGCAGCAGUGGGGAAUUUUGCACAAUGGGGGAAACCCUGAUGCAGCGACGCCGCGUGAUUUAGAAGGCCUUCGGGUUGUAAAAAUCUUUUUUAUGGGAUGAAAAUGACAGUACCAUAAGAAUAAGGUCCGGCUAAAUACGUGCCAGCAGCCGCGGUAAUACGUAUGGACCGAGCGUUGUCCGGAAUCAUUGGGCGUAAAGGGUACGUAGGCGGCCUAGUAAGUUAGAAGUGAAAUAAUAUAGAUCAACUAUAUAAAGCUUUUAAAACUGUUAGGCUUGAGAGAUGAAAGAGAAAGUGGAAUUCCUAGUGUAGCGGUGAAAUGCGCAGAUAUUAGGAAGAAUACCGGUGGCGAAGGCGACUUUCUGGUCAUCAUCUGACGCUGAGGUACGAAAGCGUGGGUAGCAAACAGGAUUAGAUACCCUGGUAGUCCACGCUGUAAACGAUGAGUGUUAGGUUCUUGGAAUAAUCUGGGAGCCGCAGCUAACGCAUUAAACACUCCGCCUGGGGAGUACGCACGCAAGUGUG